rnacentral:rRNA from 1 species
UGGGGAAUAUUGGACAAUGGGCGAAAGCCUGAUCCAGCCAUGCCGCGUGUGUGAAGAAGGCCUUUUGGUUGUAAAGCACUUUUAGCGAGGAGGAGGCUACUUGGAUUAAUACUCUAGGAACGUCGACGUUACUCGCAGAAUAAUCACCGGCUAACUCUGUGCCAGCAGCCGCGGUAAUACAGAGGGUGCGAGCGUUAAUCGGAUUUACUGGGCGUAAAGCGUGCGUGGGCGGCUUUUUAAGUCGGAUGUGAAAUCCCUGAGCUUAACUUAGGAAUUGCAUUCGAUACUGGGAAACUAGAGUAUGGGAGAGGAUGGUAGAAUUCCAGGUGUAGCGGUGAAGUGCGUAGAGAUCUGGAGAAAUACCGAUGGCGAAGGCAGCCAUCUGGCCUAAUACUGACACUGAGGUACGAAAGCAUGGGGAGCAAACAGG